GCCCCCCCAAAGUGCUGGGAUUACAGGCCUGACCCACUGCACCUGGCCUCUCUCCCUGUAUCUUCAAAGCCAAGAAGGAACUUCUGUCCCCUUGGUUAGGGUCAGGGUCCCAGAGAUCCAAGGUCAAGGCUACAGCCGCCUCCCAAGGACAUGCAUCCCUGCAAGAGGCUGCAUCCAGCAGUCAUGGAAGAGGCUCCGCUGGGGCCUGCUCCAAUUCCUGCUGGGGAAAGCAAGUGGAGGUGCCCCUUGAAGAAACAGUAAGGCCACCAAUCUCGGGGGUUCUGUCCUGACCUGCGGCCCUGGAUCAUCCAGCCUCUGCUGGGAUGGCAGCAGACGACGCCCUUCUUGGCUGGAGCUGAGGGUGGGGGUCCCGCUUCCCCAAAGGCCUAGCCCUGGAUUCCAGCCACAGGUUCUACUGAGCAGCGCCUGGCACUGCCCCGCCCCUCCAGGCCUGGCACUCGCCCUCAACAAACAUGGCGCCCAAGGCCUCACGCUCGCCAUGCCGCACGCGCCUCAGGCGACAAGCCCGCAGGGCUUCCCCUGCGCCGCUCUCAUCCCCUCAGACUGGCUGACAAGAGGAGGAGCGGGAAGUAUGACCUGGCUGGUGGCGGUGUCCUGGGCGGCUCUCCGGCGGCUGUUGUGUGGCUGCCCGCAGGCGCUGCUGGGCGGGAUGCUGUACAUCCGGCAGAGCGCAUCGCGGGAGCGCAAGGAGCUGGACGGCCUCUGAAGCUUCCAAGCCGACUUCUCCAACAACCGACUCCCGGGCUUCUAGGAGCAGAGAUACAGGGUCUCACUAUGUUAUCCAGGCUGAUCUCGAACUACUGGCCUCAGGCCAUCUUCCCACGUUGGCUUCCCAAAGCACUGAUUAUAGGCAUGAGCCACCAGACACUCGUCAGGCCGGAGCAGCAGGCGCUGCACAGAGCUGGGCCCAGAGAUCGCCAGCAGGGGACAGUUUAGACAUUCUGAUGUCGGCUCUGCUGAGGGGGGAAGUCGGGCCCCACCUUGGACAUACCAGUUUCCAUUUUCAAUGACAUCAGCCAGGACUGGCGGCUGCAGCAUUUUGUCAGCUGGAUGUGGUAUGAACGGGAGGUGCCCCUGCUGAAGCGAUGGAUCCGGGACCUGCACAUAAGAGUGGUGCUGAGGAUUGGCAGUGCCCACUUCUAUGCCAUUGUGGUCAGUGUGGCCAGGAGCAGGCAGGGCAGUGGGUGAUUGGUGUCCACAAGCUAGAGCAUGAAAGGGGCUACCUCCCCUUCGAGGCUGACAGCAGCAGUCUAUUCCGGGUGGGGCCCCUGCCCUCCCGCCUCUGCGUCAUCAACUGUCGCCAUCAACAACACGCUCGCCCCCCACCCUGCCACCAGGGACCAUCCGUACACAACUGACAACUCCAAGUAUCCCAAGGGUUACUUUGUUCAGAACACAGACUUUGACUUCUUCAACUAUGCGGGACUACAGCGGUCUGUGCUUCUGUACACGACACCAACUACCUACAUCGAUGACAUCACCAUCACCACCGGUGUGGAGUGAGACAGUGAUGACGGCUUCUGGCUGAUCCCAAACUCCUGACAUCAAGUGGUUCGCCAGCCGUUGCCUCCCAAAAUGUUGGGAUUACAGACGUGAGCCACCGCGCCUGGCCUUUUGAGAAAUCUGUUGACUGUUUAUCCGUGUUGCCACAAAAGACAUUAUGUCAUCAAUCUUUGUUGAUGGGGCGUAUUUCGUUGUGUCCAGAUACUGAAGUUCCUUCAUCCCUUCAUCAGUUGAUGGAUAGGUGCAACCGUGUGGUUCCCCACGAUAUGAUGUCAUUGUGGUUUUCUGUGUGAAGAGUAUCCCGGUGUGUACAUGUGGAGCAGCUUCUUUCUUCCUUCGUCUGUGGAUAAGCAGUGUGGACUGCAGUCCCUGCCCAUGGAGGUGCGCUGCAGACAGAAGCAGCAGCGGAGGCCUGGCUUCCUAAGGAAUUGCGGCCAGUUUGAGGAAGGAAGAAAGUCCCACCUACCAUGACCACCCCCCAGCCUGGAGGAAGCUCCAUGCCAGCAGCAUGGACCAGCAUGGGAGCCAGAGUCCUGCUAAUGCUGCAGCUCAUCACCCUCACUCAGAAGCCCAGCAGCCAUUGCCACAUCCUAUUUCCAGGGCCUGCUGCCCCCGUGCCCCCACGUGCCCAUCGACCCACACACCUCUCCUCCUGUUUGCCCAAAGUAGGCAUGGAGGGAAUUUUUCAAGUCCACUUUUAGUAGGUAAGUCAAAACAUUACAAAAUAACCACUGCACACCGGGAUCAAUGCCCUUCCAAACUCACUCUUUCCUCUGACCCUUAAACACUUGUCCCACAUCUCCCAGACUCCACUGUACCUUGAUCAGCAGGUCCCUCUUCACUGCAGUGUCUUUUUUGCAGAGUUCUUUUAGAUAUUUUGAGCUUUUGCUAUUGAUAGAAGAAAGAAAAAAGGGUAAAUUUGGGAAUCACGGGGGAGAUUUGUGAAUUCCAAUCCCUUUUGUUUGAAAACCCAGUGAAUCUCAGCUUCCUGCGUGAGAGUUUCCAGUGGGGUCGUCUGAUGACAAGGGCUCCAGAGGACCAGGGUGGGACUGUCAUGCUCCUCCCCUGGCCCAUCUCCACUUCACAUGAGCCCCUGCGUGUUCACAGUUAGCUUCCAGCUGGACACAGUUCCACUGCUGGGUGCAAACACCUGAAAGCCUCCAGUUGGCUCCAGUCUGUUCCUGAUGGUUAAAAAACCUUACUCCUGAGUUAGAAAUCCUUGCCUAGGAGUCCAGGGCAGCUUAGUGACCACACCUACCAGCCCAUCCCUGCCUCCAGCAUCCCUGUUCUCCAAGAACCUUUCAGAAUCGUUGAGGGCACAUGGGGAGACCUAUGGGUCCCUAAGUCAACACUGGUGCUCCCGUGGAGGGAGCUCCUCACCUGGACACUGCUGCCCACGUCUUGUGUAGCCGAUGUAUUGGGUUGCUGCGCAGAGCAGAGACGAUGGCGUGCACUGAGGAGAAGUUGUUGAGGCUUAGGCACUCCUGGAGAGGGAAGAGUGAGCUGUGAGGUCCAGAGUUGGAGUCAGACCCACUUCAGCCUCAGCCCCCUCUGCUGAGAUCUCCCUUCUUGAAUGAAGCAGAGGCCCAGGGAGCCUCAGGAGGGUACACCUGGGGCUGAGUGAAUGUCACUCAUCUAGAAAGAUUUCAGUUCAACCCAAGGAAGAUCCCAGGUCAGACGUGAGCAGCCACCACUGGGCCAUGGGGGUCAAGGUCAGGGAAGUUCAGAGAAGAAGGGCCUAGGGGAUGUGUAGGGCUCAGGCUAGAGAUACAGAUGCCAAUCCUGAAAGCCGAUGGAGGAGAAGAGGCAGUUCCCCAUUUUUAAAGAGGGAAUCCCAAGGCCCAACCAUGGCUUACCCUGGCCACCUUGAUCCAGUGCUCCACCACCCUGGCCCUAUCCUGGACCCUCAUGCUGUGGUCCCCGAGGCAGGAGGUGGUGACACAGUUGGCGAGCCUGUUGAAGUGUGCAAUGGUGGCACAAACUGUGGGUGCCACGUGCUCACUCCCCUUCUGAUGUCGUUGGCCCCAGAUGGAGCCCAAGCAUUCGUAGAGCUCCACCUUCUUGAACAGAUCCUUUGGGGAAGGAGGAGAGUGUCAUGGACACAGCACACCCCAGCUCAGAGUCACCCACAGUCCCAGGCAGGGACUGAGCUCACAGUUAUCCACAGUCUCUGGCAGGAACCGAGCUUGAGCUCAGAAAGCUUUAAAAUAUGCUCCAGACUUGUGGGAGUCCCUGGGUUUGGUUUUCUGCCCACCGAGGGCCCUGAAUGCAUCAUGUCCCAGAAACCAACAAGGGUGGGAAGAGAGAGUGACAUUUUCUCCCAGGCCAUCCUCAUUCCAAGAACUAGAAGGUGGCUCAGGCCUCCCCAUCCUGAGGCCUCAUCUUCCUCCCAUCCCAAUCAGCCCUCUACUCCUUCUCUCCCUACUGGUGCAGUUUCCUUGCAGCAGCUGCAACCUUGGGCUCUGUUUGGGUGUCUGCCAUAGAAUCUAGUAUGCAUCAGGUACCUAAUAAGUGCUGAGGGUAGUGAGGCUCCUGAGCAGCUGGGUGAGUGACCCAUGGCCCUGCCUGCCCCUCGGUGAUCACCUGCCCUGUCCUGCUUUCUGUCCAUCCCCUGUCAUUCAGUCUGCACAGUCACUCUGUGCAGCUGGCACGGGCGAUGUCCCAUCUCUGCUGUCCACAUGCAGACAGGGAAGGCUUGUGGGUGAGGAAACUCAUCCAGAUCCCAUGGUUGGUAAGAAGUGGGGCUGAAACUGGACCCAGGGCAUUGGCCGCUCCUCAGAGACAGGCUGGCCUGAGACAGCUGGUGCCAGAGGCACAGCCUGCAAAGCCCAGCUGCUCACCGCAUCCAUAAGGGUCAGCUGCUCAGCCAGCAGCCUGGGAGGGAAGGUCGUGAUGUCCGGCAGCUCCUCAGUGUGUUGGCUCUGGACAGUCCCGGGACAGGGACAGGGUGACUCUGGGGCUGACUGUGGCUCCAGCACUGUUCCUGGAGGGGGCCCUUCCCCUGGUGCUGGUGCUGAUGCUGAAUGUAGAUAUCCUGGUGCAUCCAGGGCUACAGGUGACUCUGGCUCUAGAGCAGGCCGCAGGUCCGCCAGCAGUGGUGGUGCUGGCUCCAGGGCCAGCAUUGUUAAUGCGUGUUGCCCAGGAGGUGGAGCAGGAUCUGGAAAAGGAGAAAAGGUCACCAUUCCAGUCACUCUUCACUGGGAUUUCCAAGUAUAGAAAUGCCUGGAUGGAAUUUAAGGGAAUUAUAGCCCCAAAACACCACCCCCGGAAAGUCUUCUCACCAUCUGGCUUGGCCUCCUUGGGCUCCGGAAGCACCAACUGGCCUAGGACAAUUUCCUGAUGGUCCUCCACGCCCAGUCCAGGCCAGGCGAAGGUCCUGAAGGCCAGCUUUAUCCAGAAAGAUGACCGUUGCAGGGCCUGGCAGCAAACUGAGGUGUUUUCAGGGGGCCAGGUGAACAAAAUGGAGGUGGUGGUGCUGGUGAUGGAGUGGACAGCUGAGUCAGAGGCCUGGCCUUCUCCCACACAACCCUCCAGGGCACCCUUGCGUGGUUCUGGGUCCCUGGCCUCUUGCUGCCUGUGUAGAGGACAGCCCCACCCUACCCCAAGCCAUCAGUGCUGUCCUGGAAGGGGCAGACCUGGCCAUGCAGCAGGGCUCUACAGACCCUUGUGUGCCCCGGCGUCCCACUGACAUUCUCUUUCCAAUGGCCCUGGAGCACAGCACUGUGCACCUGGGCACUCAGGACUGCAGCUCCAGGCAGAUUUGUGAGCAGCUUGCUCAUCAAAGCUCCAGCUUUGGUUCCCCUGGUCCUGGGGUUAGGAGGGUAGGGGCAGAUGUUGGGUGGAGGAGGACAGGGAGAGCUGGGAAGCCACAGUGGUGGGGAUGGGUCUCUCAGUGGCCAGUUGUGACCCCACCCUCACCUCUCCUUUGCAAGGGACCUAAGUCUUCAUUUACAGAACUCACUAUUUGCCUCUUGCAGGGGAAGUUCCCAAAUGUCAGCCUUGUUGUGGGAAUUAUAAGACAUGAACCCCAGGGCUCCUUUAUUCUCUCCCCAGCCAGAGUCCACAUAUUUCCCCCCAUGUUUUGUGGGUGAAGAGGCCUUUCAGAACCCUAAGUCCCCCCAGUUUAUACUUGUUGGGCUCCGUCAUUCUAGUCAGAAUCUGGGAGGAUGCCACCAUAUGUAGAGGAGGCCAUGAGGGUUUCCCCUCUAACAUUCUGUAGAUAUGAUUUGUUUAUUCUGUCUACUGUGAGCACCUGACUCUGAGUAGAAUUGAGGCCCAGGGAUUGUCAUCUGCCUUGUUUAUGAAAUUAGGCCAAGUCACAAGAAGAACGAUGCACAAAUGAGGUGUUUUGUAUGUAUGUGUUGAAUGAGUGAACCCCAACCAUUGGAGAACCCAGUGAGCCUCUCCAGAUGUCUGAGUGGGCCUGUGGCUCCUUUUUCAGCAUGAAGGGACCCCUCUUCUGUCUGUGUCAAGGAGAAAGUCCAGCCAGAAGGAAACUCAGACAUCCUUUAGCAAUGCCAUUGCAGACUUGCUUUCUAUGUGCCUUUCCAAACAGCAAGAGAGAUGGGCCAUUGCGGCAGAAUGCUGAGAGCUGCUUCAGUGAGUGGGAAGAGAAAAGUAAUAAACAUGAAUCACAGCACCCACAGCAGAUUGUCCAGAGUUUUAGGCUCUAGGGACCCCUUUGUUUGCUGUGUCUUAGAUCAUUCAGUCCCUACAAGAGCCCUGUGAGCUUUUAUCUUCUCAUUACUCCCUGUUCCACAGGAGCCAACUGAGGCUCCAAGAGGUGCAUCUUCAAGACACAGCCAGUAGGGGACAGAGGCACCUCCGUGCCUUGGAGGGGAUGGACACUCACCUUCUAACCAGUAGUUCCAAAAAGUGUGGCACGGUGAUAAAGUCCCAGGAGGGACCCAGGCAGGUGGCAUAGGAGGAGAUGGGUUUAGUUAGAAAGGCUGGAACCAGGGACUCCAAUAGCUUCUCCCCUGUGCUGGGCUGGAAAGUUGGCAUCCUGCAGAUCUCAUUUUCAUACUAGGGGGACAAGGAGGGACAUGGGAGUCAGUGUAACACCAUGAACCACCACAGGACCGGGCUCUGGAAAUCACUCCAAGAAGCAUCAACCCUUCAGGGACUUGUGCAUGUGGAGACCCUGGGUGCCCAUGGUGAAAAGGGUUCUAGGCUUUCAAGGUAAAAUUGCAUGUGAGGAUGGAGAAGGAUAAAAUGAUUCAUGCCUUCAAGGUGAAUGUCAGCUGUGGGGCAAUAGCACCCUCUGUAUCAACAGCCUGCAUGAAGAGCAUCAUCCCUGCAAUCCUCAAAAAUCACCCUCAUGGUGGAGAAGAGGAGAUGCGGGCUUUUGGAUGUCAGAUGCUUGCUCAGCAGCACCCGGGUCAGAGGAGAGCACCUUCCACAGGGAGGACUGGAUGAAAUUCCCUCUAGGCCACCUGAGGCUCCGCUUCUGUAUGGAAGGGAACGGCCUGGGGAGGUCUCAUCCCCUCCUUAUUUUAGUGACAGCGCACCAGACAAGAUGCUCUAGAAGAAGCCUUUGACUUAAAAGGAUAUGAUUGUUUUUGUUCUUUAACAUGAAUGUGAGUCUGGAGAAACAGCUAUGGCCAUCCCAGCCCUGGCCAAGGGGAAAAUGCCGGAAGACUCCAGGGUGGGAGGAAGCGCAUCCCAACGCCUAGGAUCUGCCAGGUGACUUGUGGAAGAGAAAACGCAGGCAGGUAUUGAAACCGGGAAAGGUUACGGAAAUGUAUGUUUGAAACUGGAAAUGAAACAAGGUAAUUUUCUCUGCUACACAGACAGCAGAUUGGCAAAAAGUUAAGAGCAUGUUAGUAUUCAGGGGAGGUUGCAUUCAAAGAAGCAGCUACCUUCAGAGGCUGCUGGUGACCGUGUGAGCAGCUGGAGCCCUUUUGGAAAGUCAGCUGGCUAGAGCUGUUGAAACUUGCUAUCUGCACAUCCUUUCACCCAGAUUUCCCUUUCCCGGGUGUGUCUUCCACAGGGGAUUUGUGUAUUUUAUGGGUUGAAUUGUGUCCCCUCCCCCAAAUGUAACUGUUUCUAUUCUUAACCCCA